GAUGAACGCUGGCGGCGUGCCUAAUACAUGCCAGUCGAGCGAACAGACGAGGAGCUUGCUCCUCUGACGUUAGCGGCGGACGGGAGAGUAACACGUGGAUAACCUACCUAUAAGACUGGGAUAACUUCGGGAAACCGGAGCUAAUACCGGAUAAUAUAUUGAACCGCAUGGUUCAAUAGUGAAAGACGGUUUUGCUGUCACUUAUAGAUGGAUCCGCGCCGCAUUAGCUAGUUGGUAAGGUAACGGCUUACCAAGGCAACGAUGCGUAGCCGACCUGAGAGGGUGAUCGGCCACACUGGAACAGAGACACGGUCCAGACUCCUACGGGAGGCAGCAGUAGGGAAUCUUCCGCAAUGGGCGAAAGCUUGACGGAGCAACGCCGCGUGAGUGAUGAAGGUCUUCGGAUCGUAAAACUCUGUUAUUAGGGAAGAACAAAUGUGUAAGUAACUAUGCACGUCUUGACGGUACCUAAUCAGAAAGCCACGGCUAACUACGUG
rnacentral:rRNA from 1 species